rnacentral:rRNA from 1 species
AUUGAACGCUGGCGGCAUGCUUUACACAUGCAAGUCGAACGGUAACAGGCCGCAAGGUGCUGACGAGUGGCGAACGGGUGAGUAACGCAUCGGAACGUGCCCAGUCGUGGGGGAUAACGCAGCGAAAGCUGUGCUAAUACCGCAUACGAUCUGUGGAUGAAAGCGGGGGACCGUAAGGCCUCGCGCGAUUGGAGCGGCCGAUGUCAGAUUAGGUAGUUGGUGGGGUAAAGGCCUACCAAGCCGACGAUCUGUAGCUGGUCUGAGAGGACGACCAGCCACACUGGGACUGAGACACGGCCCAGACUCCUACGGGAGGCAGCAGUGGGGAAUUUUGGACAAUGGGCGCAAGCCUGAUCCAGCAAUGCCGCGUGCAGGAAGAAGGCCUUCGGGUUGUAAACUGCUUUUGUACGGAACGAAACGGUCUGGGUUAAUACCCUGGGCUAAUGACGGUACCGUAAGAAUAAGCACCGGCUAACUACGUGCCAGCCGCCGCGGUAAUAC